rnacentral:rRNA from 1 species
AUUGAACGCUGGCGGCAGGCCUAACACAUGCAAGUCGAGCGGAGCGGCGGACGGGUGAGUAAUGCCUAGGAAUCUGACUGGUAGUGGGGGAUAACGUACGGAACCGGGCGCAAAGACCGACUAAUAUAUGAUGAGCCUAGGUCGGAUUCGCUAGUUGGUGGGGUAAAGGCCUACCAAGGCGACGAUCCGUAACUGGUCUGAGAGGAUGAGCAGUCAAACUGGAACUGAGAUCCGGUCCAGACUCCUACGGGAGGCAGCAGUGGGGAAUAUUGGAAAAUGGGCGAAAGCCUGAUCCAGCCAUGCCGCGUGUGUGAAGAAGGUCUUCGGAUUGUAAAGCACUUUAAGUUGGGAGGCGUUACCAACAGAAUAAGCACCGGCUAACUUCGUGCCAGCAGCCGCGGUAAUUC